rnacentral:tRNA from 1 species
GGAAGAUUGGCCGAGCGGCUAAGGCAGCUCCCUGCUAAGGAGUGGAUCCUCACGGGUCCCGAAGGUUCAAAUCCUUCAUCUUCCGCCA